rnacentral:pre_miRNA from 1 species
CGGUAACUCUGAUAUUGGCCUGGUUCACUCAGACACCUAUUUUGAUUUGAUUGAGCCGUGUCAAUAUCUCAGUUCUCUUU